rnacentral:lncRNA from 1 species
UUCCUCGCCUGUCUUUGCCUGGAAAGUUGGUCUUCCCAAGGGGUGAAGGUGUCACAGGUGGUGACACUACCGUAAGAGGGGCCUAUGUGUGGAUCACCCAGCAAACACUGAGCACUCCCCAGAAGCAGCAGCCACCUUGGAGAUUCCUGAGGCCAGUGCUCUGAGAUCUUUGCACCUUCAAAAGCUAGUGUGGAGCCUGCCUGCUGUAGAGGCACGCAGCAUUCAGGAGGCUAAGGAGGAUCUGACUUUGUGAGCAGCCUUGGCCCCAUAGCAAGACCCUAUCUCAGAAAAACAAACAAAAAGCAAAGAGCAGGGGCAGCAUGGUGGCACGCACCUUCAUCCUAGGACUUGAGAGAGAAGCAGAAGCAACUCCACGGGCAGUCACUUCUCUAUGUUGGGCAUCGGGGACAUUGUGAUGCCCGGCCUCCUGUUAUGCUUUGUUCUUCGCUACGACAACUACAAGAAACAAGCCAGCGGCGACUCCUGUGGGGCCCCUGGCCCGGCAAACAUCUCUGGGCGCAUGCAGAGGGUCUCCUACUUCCACUGCACCCUCAUCGGGUACUUUGUAGGUCUGCUCACCGCAACUGUGGCGUCUCGCAUCCACCGGGCCGCCCAGCCAGCCCUCCUCUACUUGGUGCCAUUCACCUUAUUGCCGCUCCUCACCAUGGCCUACUUAAAGGGUGACUUACGAAGGAUGUGGUCUGAGCCAUUCCACUCCAAGUCCAGCAGCUCCCGCUUCCUGGAAGUAUGAUGGGCAGUGUGAGAAGGGACCAGAGCGCCGGCUCCGCCCUGUUCUCUCACCACGUGGUUUUGUUCUCUCUACAAGCUGGCCUGGACUCAAGAGGCACGCCUGCUCACAGAACUGCGGUGUGGCUGCAGUCUGCGUCUGAGGGUAGCGUUCCCAGAGGGUGCUGGAGCCCUGCCGAGGGAGCCUUCUCUUCUGUGCUCUGGGAGAGUGGACCCUUGAGAAGGGGCAGGCCCUCCGGUGCUCCUUCUGUCUUCAUGGAUCUGCACCAGACUGUUAACUUGUGGGGAGAAGUUGACUUAUUUAAAAACUACAAAAAGCAAGGAGUUGUUCUAGAACUUUGAACACUAAACGGUCGAAAAUCAGUGAACCCCAAAACUUUGGGGCCAGUUUUCCUCGGGGGCUCCACUUCAGAGACCUAGGGCCGAACAUCUCGUCUGCCCUAUUCUUUUCUUUUUCUUUUUUUCUUUUGGAUUUAUUAAAUAUUUUCUGUGGUGUGAAGUGACUUAUUAAAUCCACAGACAUUGAAUGACUUCUUACAACGU